rnacentral:sRNA from 1 species
CAGUUACCACCUGUUGCGGGCAAAUCCAGUGAAUAUGGGUAUCUACCCCACCUGCGGUUAAAAUCUGGCCUUCACCCGCAAUGACCUCGGUAGCGGCGCCCAGCGGGAUGUCAAUAUCCGGCUGAAUAUCAGGAUUACCCGCCUUGCCAAUUUUCCAGAUCCGGCCAUUUUUAAGCCCCACAUCGGCUUUAACAAUGCCCCACCAGUCGACAAUCAGCGCGUUGGUAAUGACGGUAUCGGCUACAAAUUCGGCAUUCAGUUGUGAUUGUCCCAUGCCAUCACGA